CUAACUCCAGCUUUUUUUUCUUCUGGCAAAACUCAACUGCAUUAUAAAUUUUAAAAUUGGAUUUUACUCGACAGAAAGUCUAUGAAAUUGGCUGUUGGAAACACAAGUGUCCAGCUGUAGCGUCAAUAAUUAGUUGCUUCACUGAAAGUGGAUUACUUUUUAUAAAAACUUUCCCCUUUCCCCAGAGAUGACUGCAUUUCUCGGGAAAAAGGAUGCAACACCAGGGAUGCACAGCCACACAGAGAAAAGAGCCCUGUGAGGUCACAGCAAGAAGGUGCUUUCUACAAGCCAAGGAAAUGUGCCUCUGGAGAAACCAAACCUGUCAACACCUUGAUCUCAAACUUCCAGCCUCCAGAAUGCAACAAGGAACUGAGAGAACUGGUAGCUCUGCAGAGGGACAGUUUUUCCGAGUCUUUUCUCCCAGCUCCUUUCGUGGUGCUGCUCUGUGAGUUGGACUGGCUGGCUUCCCAGAUUACCUUGAAAGAGCUCUGCUUUCACUUAGGAUUUAGAAAGUUACAAGAGAACAUAACUCACAUGCUAACAUCAAGACAGUCUUCAAAAGCGUAACUUUUCUUGAGCCCAUCAGAGAUACGAGAUCACAAGUCAACCUGGUGAACUGAAUUCCAAAGUUCAAUAAACCUCUCCAAGGAAUGAGGAAACAGAUGAACCAUUUCACCUGUGGCAGAGCACAAGCAGUGGUGAGAGUCAUGAAAGUUGGUAAGAAGAAAAUAUGUAAAAUUGUAAUAUAUUCUUUAAAAUUGAAUGUGAACUAUACCAAUGGGGACACCUGGAUGGUUCAGUCAGUUAAGCAUCCAUCUACAGCUCAGGUCAUGAUCUCACAGUUCAUGGGUUCAAGCCCGUCAUCAGGCUCUCUCUGCUGUCAGCACAGAGCCCACUUCAGAUUCUGUCGCCCUCUCUCUCUGCCCUUCUCCCUUUCUUCUCUCUCUCUGUCUCUCUCUCUCUCUCUCUCUCUCUCUCCCCCCACCUCUUGAAAUAAAUAAAUAAACAGUAAAAAAAAGAAUACCUAUGAUUUCUAUGUUCAAAUAAAUAGAUGGCAAGAAAGGAAUUUUACUACAGAACUAAAAUCUCUUUAAAAAGAAUCAGAAAGAUAUUUUAGAUUUUAAAAUUGCAACUAUUGAAAUUAAGAUAUCAAUAGAUUGGUUAACAGCAGAAUAGAAAGUUAGAGAUAAUAAAGAAUUAAAAGAUCAAUAGAAAAAAUCCAGACAGAAUCAUGGAGAUUCUGAAAAAAUUCAAAGACUGUAAGGUAGAUUUGAUGUAUAUGAUAGUAAAUUCCCAGCCACAAGCAAGUUUCUGAAGGCUUGAGCCAACCUUCCAGAGGAAAACCAAAGAAAUUUAACUGAAGGUACUCCUUUAAAAUAAAGCCAGAGGAAAGGUAGGGGGAGGGGAUGGGUGAAAUAGUGAAGGAGAUUAAGAGUACACUUAUGAUCUGCACUCAAUAAUGAUGUUUAGAAUUGUUGAACCACUAUAUUGUACACCUGAAUCUAAUAUAACACUGUAUAGUAAUUAACUGGAAUUUACAUAAAAACUUAAAAAUAGAUAAAAAACUAAAACUAAAUUAAAAAAAAAAACUUAAUAAAAAAGAAAAAAAGCCCUAGUCUAACCCAGGAGUUGUACCAGUCAGUAACUAGUCCCACCCACACCCCUCCUGCAGGUCCCUAAGCAACUCCAGGGAUAUCUCCCAACAAUCUGGCUACAGGCAAAACUCCACCUCAUUACAGCUGAAUGGAUCAUUUCACUGGCAAAUGCGCCUGAUAGGAAUCCAAUCCAAGUAGUCAGUUUUAUAUCACGAAAUCCCUGAUCACUUUUCCAGACAGAUGAGCCCAUUUCUCCUACUAAUGUCCUGUGUGCAAAUGGACAGCUAGAGCAUUCUUUUACACAAUAGCUCUGAAAUGAGCAGCAAAAAAAAAAACAAAAAUAAAAACAAAAACCUGAGUGUAAAUAGUACAUAUCUCUAUCUGUCAAGGGUUAGAGACAGAAUGGGAAAAUUAGAGUAACAGAAUGGGAUAAUUAGGGCUAGAGUUUUCAAACAAAUAAGAUAUGAACAAUACAUUUAUAUAAUAUUUCCUUCUUGAAAUUCAAGUAGAAUAAAUGUAUUCUGUUCCUUUGUACAUCAUAGUAAAACUAAUGAAUAUCAAAGAUAAAGAGAAAAUAUUUAAACAGCCAGAGGAAAAAAAAGGUAUUAUCCUGAAAGGAAUAGCAGUAAGGCUAGAGCUGACUUUAUAAGGAAGAUAUAGAAGCCUUGGAAAAAAAUGGAGUAACUUCUUUAAAAUGUUUAAUAACUUCUUUAAAACAACUGUCAACAUACAUUUCUAUUUCUUCCAAAAGAAAUUAAAGAUGAAAUAAAUAAAUUUUCAGACUAUCAAAAUCAGAGAAUUUAUCACUUUUUUCCCCCUGAACUAAAUACCAAUAGAGUUCUUCAGGUUAAAAUAAAAUUAUUCUGGAUAAAACAUGAAAUGUAGGGGGUAAGGAAUAAAGGACAAUAGAAAUGUUAUAAAUGUAGAUAAAUAUAAAUAUUGACUAUACAAAAGCAAUAAUAGCAGGGCACCUGGGUGGCUCAGUCAGUUAAGCGUCUGACUCUUCCUUUUGGGCUCAGGUCAUGAUCUCAUGGUUCCUGAGUUUGAGCCCUAUAUCACGCUCUGCAGAGACAGCGUGGAGCCUGCUUGGGUUCUCUGUCUCCCCUCUCUUUCUGCCCCUACCCUCUCAAAAUAUUAAAUAAAUAAACAAACAAACAAAUAAAUAAAUAACAAUAGUAAAUCUAGUAGAGGUUAAAUAUAUGUAAAACUAAUAUGCAAGGAAAUAAACAGUACAUAAUAUAGGAAAGUAGGGAAAAUAAGUGUUCCAAAGCACUGCUCUCUCAUAGAAUUGCCAACAUUAUGUAAAUCUUCAAUUGGAAGCUGUCCAGUGGGGUAAACUCUAGUCCCUUGUGCCCACUGAGCACUAAGAAGAAAUAUGGCUAAUGCAACUGAGAAACUGAAUUUUUAAUUUUACUUAAUUAAGUUCAGUUCACAUUUAAAUGGCCACAUGUGUCUAAUGGUGACUGUAUUGAAGUUCUAAAGAUAUCUGCAUUGCCCAGAAAGGGAUAAAGUACUAAUUCAUACUAAGUUGUGUAAAAAAAAAAAAAAAAAAAAUCAAAGUUGCAAAUUUUGCUCUUUAGGAUAACCACAAAAGAAUAGUAAAAGAAUCAAUAACAAGCUACUAAAAGAUAAAGAAUUAGGUAAUUUUAAAAGUGUUUAAUCUUUUAAAAAGUUAAGAAAUUAGAGAUGCAGAGAACAGGAAACUUGAUAAAAGCCAAAAUAAAUUGCAACAUGGUAGGUAUAAAUCUUAGUACUUUAAUAAUUACUUUAAAUUCACUAAAUAUUCCAUUUAGAAAAUCAAACUGCAGACUCUCUCAUCUAGCCUAGUACUGACAUGGCUCAUGUAUAUGUAAUUUUUCAAAAUUUUGUUUAAUUUAGAAAUCUCAGCCAUGAACGUCCCAUAAUAUUGACAACCACAAGAACUAUCUUUUCCUUUUAAACUCCAAAGCUUGAUCUCCUACCAUAUUUUUAUAAUAUUUUCAUUGAUAAUUCUCUUUCCUUAAUAUAUACUUACAUGUAUGUGUAUUAUACAUAUACAUGCACGUAUGUAUGUGUUCUUUCUUGAUUAUACGACAAUGUUUUUUGCAAGUUUUUUGUCUUCUUACAUAUUGCUUUACCAAUACUUCACCCGUAAUAUCUGUAGAAUAAAUGAAUGAAAUAAAUGUUUUCAUGACACAAUUAGUAUCAAUGUUUAUAGAUCAGAAUAAAGUUAAAUAUAGUUAACAUUACCACAAUGCAGAGUAUUAGUUUGGGUUUGAAAAGGCAUAAUGCACUUUUGUUGUUGUUAUUUAAAGGCAUUAAAAUGUUAUUCACUUACUUUUCAAUUUAAUAGAGAUAGAUAAUAUUAAUUUCUGAUUUUUAAAAAGUACAUAAAACAUUAUAUUUUACUAUAUUUUUAUAAUAAUUUCUGGUGUUAUUAUAGUACAUUACAGAUUUUAUAAAUUCUUCAAAUGUUUUAUAUUAUGUAUUCAUCACAGUGGCUCUGUGAGGAAAGAGUUAAUACAAGUCUUUUCAUUUAAUC